GGGCUCGAACGUAAGAUGACUGUAGGUGAAAGCUUACAUCUCUUCGGAGCAUUUUACGAGGUGCUGCAUGGUUGUCGUCAGCUCGUGCCGUGAGGUGUCGGGUUAAGUCCCAUAACGAGCGCAACCCCUACCUUUAGUUGCCAUCAGGUUAAGCUGGGGACUCUAAAGAACUGCCUACACAAGUAGUGAGGAAGCGGGGAUGACGUCAAAUCAGCAGGCCCUUACGUCCAGGGCUACACACGUGCUACAAUGGCCGAUACAGAGGGCAGCUACCUGGUGACAGGAUGCAAAUCUCCAAAGUCGGUCUCAGUUCGGAUCGGAGUCUGCAACCCGACUCCGUGAAGUUGGAUUCGCUAGUAAUCGCGCAUCAGCCAUGGCGCGGUGAAUACGUUCCCGGGCCUU
rnacentral:rRNA from 1 species